GCUUACGGCCAUACCACCCUGAGGGCGCUAGAGAGCUACAGGAAGUGGAAGCUAAGCAGGGUCGGGCCUGGUUAGUACUUGGAUGGGAGAACGCUGGGGAAUAUCAGGUGCUGUAAGCU
rnacentral:rRNA from 1 species